GGACUGAUGACGAUGUAGCCCAGCUGAUCCGGCUGAGGAGGGAGAAGGACCACCCUUCAGCGGGAGGCGGUUUGCUGCUGCUGCAGGAUGGGAAACUUUGCUGAAAGACAUGCUGCUGUCUGAUCGAGUCAGUCCUGCUCGGGCGGAUAAAAAGUGGGAGAACUUGAAGAAAACGUACAAGUCAUGAUCAUCCAGAGCUGGCGGAUUUUCAAUCGGGGCUGAAAGAGCAGCAGCCAUGCGUCCACGCAGCUGCUCCCCACACUGCGAGUCAGGCUGAAGCUGGCCGUCUCCAUCAUCCGGCCUCAGUGCCUCUUCAACUGGCUCAAUUGUGUUGCCAUCCCUGAGGCAGAAAUUGUGGAGGAUGGCACAACAAGCCACCACCUCCACAGAGAACACAGGGCUCACUUCUAGGGCCUUGAAAAAGACGGAGCGCCAUCUAGCCUUCAUAAUACCAAAGGCCCGCUCGAUAACUGUCAUGAUUUGGUUUUGAAUUUGAGUUUCCCUGUUUUACCCCAGUGUUGCUUGUUUCCCUUGUGUGUUAAUGU